rnacentral:ncRNA from 1 species
AAUUCUGACUCGGGGUGCCUGCUACAAAUCGUGGUAUGGCUGAGAUAUUACCCGUAUACCCGUAUUACCCGUAUUACCCGUAUUACCUGAUCUGGAUCAUACCAGCGUAGGGGUACGGCAUUAGCUCA